rnacentral:tRNA from 1 species
GCAAUAGUGGUUCAGCGGUAGAAUUCUCACCUUCCAUGCAGGAGACCCAGGUUUGAUUCCUGGCCAGUGCA